CGUGCGAUGAGUGAACUCGACGUUCACCAUGCAGCUUUACCCAUCCUUCACCACCACUACUACGCUCGGGAUCUUGUUCUUGCUAGGUGCUCUGGCCGACGGAGCUCUGCCUGGCGACUUGCAAUGGCUCUUCCCAAAACACGUGGAGGUGGAUAAAGAUAUGGCCUUCUUCUAUCAAAUCACUCACGAGGUACCACCGUUCUUCCUGAGCAUGAGCGUCGACAAUGUGGUGAUUGAAGCUCUGUCCU